UGGGGAAUAUUGCACAAUGGGGGAAACCCUGAUGCAGCGACGCCGCGUGGAGGAAGAAGGUCUUCGGAUUGUAAACUCCUGUUGUUGAGGAAGAUAAUGACGGUACUCAACAAGGAAGUGACGGCUAACUACGUGCCAGCAGCCGCGGUAAAACGUAGGUCACAAGCGUUGUCCGGAAUUACUGGGUGUAAAGGGAGCGUAGGCGGGAUGCCAAGUCAGCUGUGAAAACUAUGGGCUUAACCUGUAGACUGCAGUUGAAACUGGUAUUCUUGAGUGAAGUAGAGGUUGGCGGAAUUCCGAGUGUAGCGGUGAAAUGCGUAGAUAUUCGGAGGAACACCGGUGGCGAAGGCAGCCAACUGGGCUUUAACUGACGCUGAGGCUCGAAAGUGUGGGGAGCAAACAGGAUUAGAUACCCUGGUAGUCCACACUGUAAACGAUGAUAACUAGGUGUGGGGGGUCUGACCCCUUCCGUGCCGCAGCUAACGCAAUAAGUUAUCCACCUGGGGAGUACGACCGCAAGGUUGAAACUCAAAGGAAUUGACGGGGACCCGCACAAGCAGUGGAUUAUGUGGUUUAAUUCGACGCAACGCGAAGAACCUUACCAAGUCUUGACAUCCCUUGACGAUGCUGGAAACAGCAUUUCUCUUCGGAGCAAGGAGACAGGUGGUGCAUGGUUGUCGUCAGCUCGUGUCGUGAGAUGUUGGGUUAAGUCCCGCAACGAGCGCAACCCUUAUGGUCAGUUACUACGCAAGAGGACUCUGGCCAGACUGCCGUUGACAAAACGGAGGAAGGUGGGGAUGACGUCAAAUCAUCAUGCCCUUUAUGACUUGGGCUACACACGUACUACAAUGGCGUUAAACAAAGAGAAGCAAGACCGCGAGGUGGAGCAAAACUCAGAAACAACGUCCCAGUUCGGACUGCAGGCUGCAACUCGCCUGCACGAAGUCGGAAUUGCUAGUAAUCGUGGAUCAGCAUGCCACGGUGAAUACGUUCCC
rnacentral:rRNA from 1 species